rnacentral:rRNA from 1 species
CGCUCAUGGACGAAAGCCAGGGGAGCGAAAGGGAUUAGAUACCCCUGUAGUCCUGGCCGUAAACGAUGGACACUAGGUGUCGGGGGAAUCGACCCCCUCGGUGUCGUAGCCAACGCGUUAAGUGUUCCGCCUGGGGAGUACGCACGCAAGUGUGAAACUCAAAGGAAUUGACGGGGGCCCGCACAAGCGGUGGAGUAUGUGGUUUAAUUCGAUGCAACGCGAAGAACCUUACCAGGGUUUGACAUCCUGCGAAUCCCUUGGAAACGAGGGAGUGCCUUCGGGAGCGCAGUGACAGGUGGUGCAUGGCUGUCGUCAGCUCGUGUCGUGAGAUGUUGGGUUAAGUCCCGCAACGAGCGCAACCCACGUCUUUAGUUGCCAGCAUUUAGUUGGGCACUCUAGAGAGACCGCCGGUGAUAAACCGGAGGAAGGUGUGGAUGACGUCAAGUCAUCAUGCCCCUUACAUCCUGGGCUACACACGUACUACAAUGCUACGGACAAAGGGCAGCAAACUCGCGAGAGCUAGCAAAUCCCAUAAACCGUGGCUCAGUUCAGAUCGUAGGCUGCAACUCGCCUACGUGAAGGAGGAAUCGCUAGUAAUCGCAGGUCAGCAUACUGCGGGAAUACGUUCCCGGGCCUUGUACACACCGCCCGUCACACCAUGGAAGUUGGCCACGCCCGAAGUCGUUACUCCAACCU